rnacentral:sRNA from 1 species
GUCAUGAACCCUAUGCCUAAAGGCAGGGGCUUGUAGGAGCCCCGAUGCAUGACCAGUACAAGCGGUGAAUAUCUGCUACGUUCGAGGGGUCAUGGCACUCCGGAAUGCUUGCCAGUUCCGGACCCUGCCGUGGACGGAUAGGCGAGGAGCGCGUGUAGCGAGUUGCAUGUUCUCCAAACCGGUGAGUGGACCAGCCAAAGACGGACGGCU